CGGAGUAAGAGGGCCUCGAUCCCACAAAAACUAGUUAACAGCUAAUUACCCUAGCCAGCGGGCUUCUACUCG
rnacentral:tRNA from 1 species